UUUAAGUGGGUAUAUGGAAAUCCUUGGCAUUUCCUAGUGGGUAUACGGCGUAUACCUGCGUGUCACGUAGACUACACCAGUGCAUAUACACACUUUUUUUAUUCAACAGACAGAAUUAAAAUGUUAAGCAACGAAGUGAUCUGGGUUUAAUAUUCUCAAUUUGGGAAAUCGAUAAAAAAAAAUGUAGAUAUUGCUAAAAACAACAACAACCCAGUGUUGGGAAACUUAUUGUCUGUAGAAAUAAUGUCAACUGGGAAUCUAGUAGUUUAAUUAAACACUGUUUAUUAUUGUGCUGAAAUAGAUAGAUAGAUAGAUAGAUAGAUAGAUAGAUAGAUAGAUAGAUAGAUAGAUAGAUAGAUAGAUAGAUAGAUAGAUAGAUAGAUAGAUAGAUAGAUAGAUAGAUAGAUAGAUAUUAUUUUGAGUUGUUUGGUUGGAAAAUUAAUUUGUAUUGACCCUAAAAAUGCUCCUAUUGACAAAAGGUUGGAGAAACUUUGAAUCUUGCGUUGGCAAAAUUAUGAUCAAGGUGUGUCAGUAUAACACCAGGUGGAAUAAUGUGGUGUUUAUAAACUCCAUCAGGUUUGUAAUAUUGAGAUGUGGAAGCCUUGUGUAAGUGUAAAAAACAAACUCAUUGAUUUGACCUGACCCUUGGCUAUUUCCUUCUGUGUGUGUGUGUGUGUGUGUGUGUGUGUGUGUGUGUGUGUGUGUGUGUGUGUGUGUGUGUGUGUGUGUGUGUGUGUGUAUAUAUAUAUAUAUAUAAUUUUCAUUUUUUUUAGAUUGGUUUAUUCAUGUUUUAUAUCUUCCUAUUUUUUGCAGAAAGAAUGGUUUAAUGAACUCCACAAAAUUUUGUUCCUAUAUUAUUGUUCACUAGAAUAUAACUUUAAAAGUAACAGGACUUUUCUUUGGGAAUUUGUUUGGGGAGGGAAUGUUAUCGGUGGGACACUUCUACGGGGUUUCCUCUUGUACCUCAUGCGGUCGCCUCAGUCAGUAUAUGUUGCGUGUGAGGCCGAUGAUGACGCGUGUUUUCCGCUCCUCCUCUCAUUACACUGCUGAGUAAUGUGGAGAGGCAGCUACAACACAAUUCUCCUCAAAAUAUUCAGCUUUCCUCCGCGGUGGACAAAAUACACAAGUCUCUAUGUGCUGACGGCUGAGAGACAGAUUCCAAGGGACCGUCUGCAAAGUGCAAAACCCGAAAAGCGAAUACUACAAAAAGUCAAUAACUACAACACUUAGUUAUAAUAGUUAUACUACAACACUUAUUCUGAGAAACCUUGCUUAUUGAUUAUUUUUAUUGUUUGCAUUAUGAACAAUAUACAUUUGACUAACUUUGGAAAGACCGCUUUUCGGGUUUUGUACUUUGCAGACGGUCCCUUGGGAUCGGUCUCUCUCUCUCUCUCUCUCUCUCUCUCUCUCUCUCUCUGGCUUUAUUUCCAGGACGAUUCUCGAAAUGGGAAACAUUCUAUCUACCCACAAGGGUUACAUCAAUUGUGCUAAACUGGAUGGUGAAUGGAGAGCAGCAGGAGGAGGAAAUAAAUGAUGUGGUGGAGGAGGUUAAUGGAGUGGUGAAGGAGAACAAUGAAUGCCCUAUUUGCAUGGAGCCAUACACAGGGGAUGUGACGGUGCUCCAAUGUGGGCAUAAAUUCCACGGCCACUGCAUUGACGAGUGGUUUGAAGUGGAACUAACCUGUGGGAAGUGCUCACUGCCAAUCGAUGUAAAUGGUGCACAUUAAAAUCAACUAACCUGUUUGGUCUGUGGACUACAAAUCACUGCAAAUGGUGCACAUUAAAAUGCUACGAUGAUUGUUUGUUAUUUAUGUUUGUUUUUUUAAUGACAUAUUUAAUACAAAAUC